GAGUUUGAUCGUGGCUCAGGAUGAACGCUGGCGGCGUGCUUAACACAUGCAAGUCGAACGAAGCGCCUUAUUUGAUUUUCUUCGGAACUGAAGAUUUGGUGGCUGAGUGGCGGACGGGUGAGUAACGCGUGGGUAACCUGCCCUGUACAGGGGGAUAACAAUACAGAAAUAGACUGCUAAUACCGCAUAAGACCACAGCACCGCAUGGUGCAGGGGUAAAAACUCCGGUGGUACAGGAUGGACCCGCGUCUGAUUAGCUGGUUGGUGAGGUAACGGCUCACCAAGGCGACGACCAGUAGCCGGCUUGAGAGAGUGAACGGCCACAUUGGGACUGAGACACGGCCCAAACUCCUACGGGAGGCAGCAGUGGGGAAUAUUGCACAAUGGGGGAAACCCGUCGAUGCAGCAACGCCGCGUGAGUGAAGAAGUAUUUCGGUAUGUAAGACUCUAUCAGCA
rnacentral:rRNA from 1 species